rnacentral:lncRNA from 1 species
CGCCAAGGUGCAGGGCGCAUGCGGGAGGCCGGCCGGCGAGGGACGCGGGGACGCGGGGACGCGGGGACCCGGCGCCGGAGGCAAGGUGCUAUUUUCAGAAUCCAGGUAGAAUCUAACACAGUAAAACAAUGCCAAGGGAAAAGGAAGGAAAACAAAAAACUAAAGGAACACCCCUGCCCAUUGUUCCAAUUCUUCGGAAGUUCCUGAAAACGUAUGAAAAGCACUGUGUCCAGACGCAGACAGCUGUGUGUCCAGCCAUCAGACAGGACUUGAAAACCAGCAUCAACAACGAACAGAUUCUUAGGAAAUUUAUGCUUGUAAGACCUGGAGACUCCCCAACAAGCAUCUUACCCAUUUCCUUAGAACCUUUGCUCAUGACAAUUCGCGAUGAGUGUUAUAUGCUGGGGAAAGAGAUCUGUAUCUGGAGCCUUCAACUGAGCAACCCAGAGAUUGCCAGACUGGUGAGUCAUGCGUUUUAGAAGUAUUCCUUCAAUUAAACUUAAAAUUGAAUAUAACAUAAUAGCACAUAUUCCAGCUACAGUUCAUUUGGUUGUUGACUGAUAUGCACUAAGCUUUUUUUUUUUAAAAAAGACAACGUAUCUUUUAAUGAAACAUUUCAAAGUUAUGUAAAAGUACAAAAAACCAGGUAAAACUAUAAUGUUUGGUUAAAAAACAUUAUAGUUUUACCUGUUGUUUAUUUUAUAAAAUGCAACAUACAGUAUGCAUUCUUUUCUGUCUCUCUUUGCCUGUACAACAUUACGUUUUUAUGAGUCAUCAUAUUUUACUUUUGUAGAGCUAUAGUUGAUGCAUUUUCAUUGCUAUAUAGUUUUUUUUUAAGAUUUUAUUUAUUUAUUCGAGAGAGGAAGAGAGAGCCCAAGCGGGGGAGGGAGAGGGACAAGCAGGCUCUGCACUGAGCGUGGAACCUGAUGUAUGGUUCAUCCCAUGACCCUGAGAUCAUGACCUGAGCUGAAAUCAAGAGUGAGACGCUUAACUGACUGAGCCACCCAGAUGCCCCUAUAUCAUUUUCUACUAUGAAUAUACCAUAAUUUCUUUAUCCUACUAUUCAACAACAACAAAAAACAAACAACCUCAUUUUAAAAUGGGCAAAGGACUAAGGAAACAUUCUCCAAAGAAGGUAUACAAAUAAAUCAUAAACACACAAAAGAUGUUCAAUAUUACUAAUCUUUAGGGAAAUGCAAAUCAAAACUGCGAUAGGAUACUACCUCAUGUCAACUAGUAUGGCAUGAGGUAGUAUCUCAUAUAGUAGUAUGGCUACUACUAUAAAAAAAAUAGAACAUAAUGUGUUGACAGG